CCUCCUUUCUAAGGAAACAAUUAUCAUCUUCAGUUUUGAGAGACUUAAGAAAGUUUUUCAUUGUAACUUGCUUGCAAAUUGUAUUUGCAACAUUUUAAUCUUUUUAAGAUUAAGGGCCUAUAGCUCAGUUGGUUAGAGCACACGCCUGAUAAGCGUGAGGUCGGUGGUUCAAGUCCAUUUAGGCCCACCAUAACCACAAAUAGGCAAAAUCUUAAAAAAGCUCUUUGAAAAGUAGAUAAACGAAGGUUAAAAAAUCAAAGG
rnacentral:tRNA from 1 species